rnacentral:rRNA from 1 species
UACGUAUGGGGCGAGCGUUAUCCGGAUUCAUUGGGCGUAAAGCGCGCGUAGGCGGCUCGCUAAGCCGGGUGUCAAAUCCAGGGGCUCAACCUCUGGCCGCACCUGGAACUGGCGGGCUUGAGUGCGGUAGGGGAAGGCGGAAUUCCCAGUGUAGCGGUGAAAUGCGCAGAUAUUGGGAAGAACACCGGUGGCGAAGGCGGCCUUCUGGGCCGUCACUGACGCUGAGGCGCGAAAGCUAGGGGAGC